ensembl:lncRNA
CUUGAAUGGUCUGCACAGAGCCCUGACCUCAACCGCAUCAAACACCUUUGGAUUGGAACGCCGACUGCGAGCCAGGCCUUAUCACCCAACAUCAGUGCCUAAUGCUCGUGGCUGAGUGGAAGCAAGUCCCCGCAGCAAUGUUCCAACAUCUAGUGGAUAGCCUUCCCAGAAUAGUGGAGGCUGUUGUAGCAGCAAAGGGGGAACCAACUCUAUAUUAAUGCCCAUGAUAUUGAAAUGAGAUGUUAGAUGAGCAGGUGUCCACAUACCUUUGGUAAUGUAGUGUAUUUUACUUUUUUUUUUAAAGACAAAUAUGGACAAUUCUUUUACUUGGUACACAGAAUAAUAAUGCUGGACGCAAAUAUUGGAAAGAAAAUGCUUUAAUGAUGGACAAAAAUGUUUUUCACUGUUAACAGAUGAACACAAAGCAGAUUAUCAUUUUAGUCUCUAGUGAGGGACCUUUAGCCUGGCCUCCAGACAAACAUUAUAAAGUUUAAGUUUGAGGUUACAUUUAAUUCCUCAUCAGCCUAUCAAAGAUAUUAAACUUUUUCUCCUCCAACAAAUGGCAUUUCUUUAAAUAUGUCAACUCGGCCAGCAGAGGGAUAUUGUAAACCUCCAAUGUCAAGGUUCACAAUAUCCCUUCUGUGGCCGAGUUGACCUAUUUACGAUUCAAUCCAUGUACGAUUCAAUACCAUUACAAUUGGAUUUCUGUUCGUAAGACAACACACUUUGAGGAAACAGAAUUUGUCUGCACCUCCUAAAGACCAGAGGCAUUUACUGUGAACUCAGUAGUUGAUUUGGUAUUCACCAAAAUAUGAUAUUUGCUGUCCAGCAACAAACCUUUGAGAUCAAAGCCUGAACCCGUGUAUUAAAUAAAUACCUUUGCUCUUGGUGGUGUGAGGAGAGUGUUUUUGGGGGGUGUUACUACUGUGAGGGCGUAAUAAGGGUUUGUCUUGUCCUCAGGGCCUGGGUGGCGGGCGAGAGGGAGGGGGGCCUGGGGGUGCACGGGCUGGAGGGGGACCUGGGGGAAGUCGGCUGGACGGGGGGGCACGGGAGGGAGGGAUGCAGACGGAGGGAGGAGUGGAGUGUGGGGGAGGAGAGGACGGUUGGACUAGAGGUCUCUGAACUGGAGGAGGGGGAAGGGUUUGAGAGCGACGGGCAGAAGGGGGUCGAAUGGACUCCUUGUUUUUUACGCGUGUGAAGUUGAUACAGCGACCCUGCAACACAGACAGACGGAACCAAGUUAGACCAGGGGUUCAGAACACAGACGCCUUUUCCACAGUUAGUUACAUCACUGUUUGGCUGCAGAGUCCUCUGAUUAAAAGGUGACAAAGUAAACCAGCACGCACAUACACACAUGUGCAUGUCUAUAUGUCCUGUUUGCAUCAAGAUAGGUGAAAAUUGGGGGGAUCAAUGCAAACUAAGAAUAAUGGUAUUAGGGUGCUAAUAAAAACAAGUGUUAAAGAAUCCACUCCUCUAAGUGGUCCGAGUGUUGCAGAGAAUUUAGAACUGGGCCGUUUAACUGGAAACAACUUUCCAGAGUCUGCAACACAUCGUCUCUGAGCCACACACACACACACACACCCCCUCUCAACAAAGCCCCUUUACAAGUCCUUCACACGUCAUUAACUGGGCAGAAUACAUCUUCAAAUCUCGAGGUGAAAUGAGGGGAGAAAUCAAAAGACAAUGACUUUUUUAUUUCUGUAUUGUUAUUUAGGGAGCCAAUUUCAGAUGCAAACACACAUUUCUGUGAAAAGACAAAGCAUUUUCUCAUCUCUGUAUGUUUUUGAGUCAUCUUCCAGGGUUUUAUUCAUACAUAGGUAUUGGAUGUUUUUAAAAAUUGACAUACAACUUAAUGACAAAUCAAAACAACAAAAGGCACAACGACAAAAAGUGCAACAAAAACGACAAAAGCACACGGUUAAAAAGCACAUCAACUACGAAAAGCACAACAAGAAAAGGCACAGGGAUAACGAGCUCAACAAUAUAACACAAAGCACUAAGCAUCCAGAUCAAUUAUGAAAAUCUCCCAUCUCUGACAAACACACACAUCUCACUCUCCCAUCUCUCCACAUUACUCUCACUCUAAUGGGCUCAUGAAUGGCCAUCAGCAGGUUACCAGUUUCUGCCACAAUGUGUGUGUGUGUGUGUGUGUGUGUAUGUCAUCCUCUGUGAAAGCGCGUCACCCAACCAGAUGGGAAGUUGAAAGGCCACAAGCCAAAUUGUGACAGAAGAGAUUCCCUUUCAUUGUCCCCUGAUGGCCCUGUCACACAGCGGAGAGGAGAGGAAAUAGGGAAAAGUAGGAAAGAGGGAGGAGAGGGCCUUGUUUAUUAAAUAGGCAACGCAAAUCAGGACCUCCCAUCUUCUCUCUCCACCAAACUCACAGGAACCUCUGGCCAAAUAGAGAUAUCACAUCUGCAGAAUAAGGGUCUUGUUCCGCUAUAUGCAUAGCGUGUGUAAGUGGAUCCUUGGUUGUGUGAUGGAGGGAUCUUAUACAGUUGCCUGUGAAGUGUGUGUGUGAGUGGAUACUUUUAAGGUCAUGUGAGGUGACAUGCAGAGCUGUCAGUUCAGAGCUCACUCUCAUGAAACGCUGCGAUGCGUGGGGUUUUGUUCUAUCCUCGCAGGGACCUAAAAGUCCCCACAAGGAUAGUAAAACAAGGAAAAUUCUCCCUUGUGGGGACAUUUCCCACGAGGACAAAGGUUAGUUUAGGGGCUAGGUUUAGGGUUACAAUUGGGGUUAGGGAAAAUAGGAUUUUGAAUGGAAAUACAUUUUAGGUCCCCAUGAAGAUAGAAAAACAAGUGUGUGGGUGUGUGUGAGAGAGGGACUGAGAGGCUGGGUAUGCCGAGAGUUGUAAUGGAGCUGUGUUUGUUUCCCACUAGAGGCAGGUUAUGACUUGCCUGAGUAGUGAGUACCAGUAUCUUCAGUUAACAUUUCACUCCUUUACCACUGCUUUCGGCAAUCUUAACUAUGAUCUCAACUUUCAAUAUGCAGUUGUUGAUUGGUAGUUGGAAACAACAUGAAUAUUUUCUAUGACGUUAUGGAACACAGGGUGCGAGCAAAUUUGGCGCAAAUGUAGAAUUUUUUAAGAACAAACAAUACCUUGAAGACCUGCUGCGGUCAUUCCCUUGUAAGAAGGCAGUGUCACUGCAAGAUCACGUUGUUCAAAGUCAAGUGGCGAGAGAGAGGACUCCAUAUUGAGAGAAAAAACUAUAUUUGGAAAAUAUCAGCCUACAAGAUUUAAUCGAGCAGUGUUUGCUUCAGUUGCAUCCCAUUAAUGAGAGGUGGGUGUGCAGGCCUGGCUUUUGAUCCAGCCCUGAAACACCCAAGUCUGCUUAUCAAGGUCCUGUUGGGCAAUUGAUGUUUAGGCUACAACGAGGUUAGUCCAAGGCUCGACGAAAUGCCUGCACACGCAGUAGCUAUCCUGGAGGAUGGUUGCUACCCUUGAUAUAAAAUAUUGUUUAAUUACAACCAAAUACUUUGUUGUCUUUAUAUAAAAUCAUUCCCCAAUUAAAUUAAUCGGGGAUCAAAUGGAUAAGGCUACUUUGAAGUAGCCUAACUAGACAUGUUUAUAUACAAUACCAGUCAAAAGUUUGAAAAGACCUACUCGUUCAAGGGUUUUUCUUUAUUUUUAUUAUUUUCUACAUUGUAGAAUAAUAGUGAAGACAUCAAAACUUUGAAAUAAUACAUAUGGAAUCACGUAGUAACCAAAAAGUGUUAUACAAAUCAAAAUAUAUUUGAAAUUUUAGAUUCUUCAAAGUAGACACCCUUUGCACAAUCUUGGUAUUCUCUCAACCAGCUUCACCUGGAAUGCUUUUCCAACAGUCUUGGAGUAGUUCCCACACAUGCUGAGCACUUGUUGGCUGCUUUUCCUUCACUUUGUUGUCCAACUCAUCCCAAACCAUCUCAAUUGGGUUGAGGUCGGGUGAUUGUGGAGGCCAGGUAAUCUGAUGCAUCACUCCAUCACUCUCCUUCUUGGUCAAAUAGCCCAUACACAGCCUGGAGGUGUGUUGGGUAAUUGUCCUGUUGAAAAACAAAUGAUAGUCCCACUAAGCUCAAACCAGAUGGGAUGGCAUAUCGCUGCAGAAUGCUGUGGUAGGCAUGCUGGUUAAGUAUGCCUUGAAUUUUAAAUAAAUCACAGUGUCACUAGCAAAGCACCAUCACACCACCUCCUCCAUGCUUCACAGUGGGAACCACAUGCGGAGAUCAUCCAUUCACCUAUUCUGCAUCUCACAAAGACACGGCGGUUGGAAUCAAAAAUCUCAAAUUUGGAUUCAUCAGACCAAAGGACAGAUUUCCACCUGGCUAAUGUCCAUUGCUCGUGUUUCUUGGCCCAAGCAAAUGUCUUUCUUAUUGAUGUCCUUUGGGCUCCUGAGUGGUGCAGCGGUCUAAGGCACUGCAUCUCAGUGCUAGAGGUGUCAUUACAGACCCUGGUUAAAUUCCCGGGCUGUAUCACAACCGGCUGUGAUUGGGAGUCCCAUUGGGCAGUGCGCAAUUUGCCCAGCGUCGUCCGGGUAAGGUUUGGCCGGUGUAGACCGUCAUUGUAAAUAACAGUAGCAAGAAAAAGUAUGUGAAUUACAUGGACUUCUGCAUAAAUUGGUCAUAAAAUCUGAUCUUCUGUUGUUGAUUUACUUUUGUGUUUUGGGUCGUUGUCCUGUUGCAUCACCCAUCUUCGAUUGAGCUUCAAUUGGUGGACAGAUAGCCUUACAUUCUCCUGCAAAAUGUCUUAAAUUCAUUGUUCCGGCGAUGAAAGCUUUUGUUCCAAUUCGAGGUGAAUAAUCGCUGUUCUGAUGUCCAGAAGUUAUUUUCGGUAGCAGCAACAUUAUGUACAAAAUAAGUAAAAAAAUAAGUUACAAACAACACUAAAAAAAUGUCUUUAUAUGCUUUUCCAAGAGAGAAAUCACUUUGUUUAAUGAAGCCUGAUCACUGUUAGUUAGUGGGUGUGGCUGAAUUAUGAUGACCGACAGCUUGUUGUUGAGUCAUACACCAAGCGUUGGGGGUCAUCGCGUCUUCUACCUUGGAAGUACUCUGCGCCUUGUGUCUGGCUGACUGUUCGUCUCUGUGAUGGCUGUCAAUCAUUUCCUGUAAAUCUCCAACGGUCCAAUUUUCAAAAGGCUUGCACCUUUUAUCUUUAUCUUUCACCUUUAUUUAACCAGGUAGGCCAGUUGAGAACAAGUUCUUGUUUACAACUGCAACCUGGCCAAGCUAAAGCAAAG